rnacentral:rRNA from 2 species
AGUUUAGCUAAUGUUGCCCGUACCGUAAACCGACACAGGUGGGUGGGAUGAGUAUUCUAAGGCGCGUGGAAGAACUCUCUUUAAGGAACUCUGCAAAAUAGCACCGUAUCUUCGGUAUAAGGUGUGGUUCGCUUCGUAUUAGGAUUUACUCCGAAAGCGAAGAAACUUACAACAAAGAGUCCCUCCCGACUGUUUACCAAAAACACAGCACUCUGCUAACUCGUAAGAGGAUGUAUAGGGUGUGACGCCUGCCCGGUGCUCGAAGGUUAAUUGAUGGGGUUAGCAUUAGCGAAGCUCUUGAUCGAAGCCCGAGUAAACGGCGGCCGUAACUAUAACGGUCCUAAGGUAGCGAAAUUCCUUGUCGGUUAAAUACCGACCUGCAUGAAUGGCGUAACGAGAUGGGAGCUGUCUCAAAGAGGGAUCCAGUGAAAUUGUAGUGGAGGUGAAAAUUCC